rnacentral:rRNA from 1 species
GGGCCCGCACAAGCGGCGGAGCAUGUUGCUUAAUUCGACGCAACGCGAAGAACCUUACCAAGGCUUGACAUGGCCUCAAAAGCCGCAGAGAUGCGGUGUCCGCAAGGGGGGGUCACAGGUGGUGCAUGGCUGUCGUCAGCUCGUGUCGUGAGAUGUUGGGUUAAGUCCCGCAACGAGCGCAACCCUCGUCCUAUGUUGCCAGCGGGUAAUGCCGGGGACUCAUGGGAGACUGCCGGGGUCAACUCGGAGGAAGGUGGGGAUGACGUCAAGUCAUCAUGCCCCUUAUGUCUUGGGCUGCAAACAUGCUACAAUGGCCGGUACAGAGGGCUGCGAUGCCGUGAGGCGGAGCGAAUCCCGGAAAGCCGGCCUCAGUUCGGAUCGGGGUCUGCAACUCGACCCCGUGAAGUCGGAGUCGCUAGUAAUCGCGAAUCAGCAACGUCGCGGUGAAUACGUUCCCGGGCCUU